CAGUCGCCGCGGUAAUACAGAGGGUGCGAGCGUUAAUCGGAUUUACUGGGCGUAAAGCGUGCGUAGGCGGCUUCUUAAGUCGGAUGUGAAAUCCCUGAGCUUAACUUAGGAAUUGCAUUCGAUACUGGGAAGCUAGAGUAUGGGAGAGGAUGGUAGAAUUCCAGGUGUAGCGGUGAAAUGCGUAGAGAUCUGGAGGAAUACCGAUGGCGAAGGCAGCCAUCUGGCCUAAUACUGACGCUGAGGUACGAAAGCGUGGGGAGCAAACAGGAUUAGAUACCCCUGUAGUCCCUGUCUCUUAUAC
rnacentral:rRNA from 1 species